rnacentral:lncRNA from 1 species
GUAUAGUCUAUUGAGUGCAUUGGGAAGUGUGCUGUAAAAUUAAAAUAUAAAUCCACGCUGGAAAUUCAAAAAAUCAAGGAAUAAUUCCAAUUCAUUAUCGUCGUUAAUGAAGAUUUAUUAUAAUAUAUUUAUAACAGUGAAAUGGUUAAUAAAUGUGUAGCAAUAGGAUGCAAGAGUGGGUACAAACGUCGCGAGAUUAACAACGUCAGCUUUCAUGCAUUUCCGAGACCUCCCAAUAUUCGCCAAAAACGGAUCCGAGCAAUACAUCGUGAUAACUAGGAGCCAUCAAAGAAUUCAGUAGUCUGUAGUCGAAAUUUCCUUUCGAGUGACUUCUAGAGUAAUCACGAGGAUACAAACAAAUACAGAAAGAGGAAUUCUAAAUCUCUGACCAUCCAUUGUUUGGAAGAGGACGCCAUUCCAUCCCAAUUUCACAACCUUUCAGCUUAUUUAUCACGAAAGAUUACUCAAAGCAGGCCAGUAUUUUUUUCAAGUAAAGAAUGAUACAUAAGAGGAGGUAAUGGAGAAUAAAUCCCAAUUGUUUUUAAACAAACACAAGAUAAACUCUCUCGGACAUAUUCAGAAGGGUAUAUUGGAACAUGAACUGCCUGCUGGUGUUAUAUCUAUUAAUAUUAUUAGCAGCCAAAAUUUCAUCUUGCUGUGCAAGAUGAAAUUGCAUCUCCAUAGGUAAAGUGUUGAUAAGAGGUGAUGGAGAGCAUGGACUUGUCAAUUUGGGUCAAUGGUUAUAGAAUUGCUUCCUUCAAAGUGUCUCAUAUCUGUAAAAAUACAAUUUCGCUCUUUUCGGAGCUAAUAAACAUAAUUCCUGAAAAAUUCAGGAGACGAAUAAAAUCCAAUGGACAAAAUAAACUUAGCAGUUCAGUUGUUGAAUGAAGCAAAGGAAAAAAUGGAAAGUGAUGAUCCAAAAAAUAGGAUGGAUUUUGUAUCAAAACAUAUUCAACCUUGCUCGAAAAAUAUAAAAGUCGGUAGAUAUUCUUCUUUUAUUAUUGCUGUCGCUAAAUCAAAUUAUAAUACUCCUAUCACUUCAACUACUCUCUAUAAACAGUAAGCUAAUAACAAUAUAUGUUGUUUACCCUCUCCAUCACAUUUAAAAAUAAUUUCAUCCUUCAUCUCACUUGUCACUGGAUUAACUGACGAUUCCAAAAAGUAUCUGAAAGCAAGAAUUGCUUGCUUGACAGAAAGAGAGAAGAUGGUAAGUCUGAUGGUAGAUGAAGUAUAUUGUGAGAAAUAUGCUGAAUAUGCUGGUGGCAAAGUAUUUGUAAGCGAGAACAAUGAAGUGACAAAAACCCUCCUGUGCUACAUGAUAAGAAGUAUUGCUGGUUCCUAUUAAGAUAUAGUUGCUUUGAUCCCCAUUUUCAAGACCGACUCUAAGACAAUAUGUUCCAAGUAUUCAGACAUAUUAUCGGCAUUAACUGAAAUCCGAUUUGAUGUAACUGCUGUAUCAGUAGACGGACACAGUUCCAAUAGAUAAAAUUUUCUUUUACGAAUGAUGUCGAGGAGAGAUGAAAUUUGAUCAGUGCCAAAUAACAAUAAGGAGGGAAGUCAAGUGUAUUUACUUUAAAAAAGAGUUUUUUUAAAAGAUACAUUUAUUCAAAAAUGAUUAUUCUAACUUUUUAAACAAGAAGGAAUUUGAAUGUCCAGACUUUGAUGGUAAUGUGAUAAAACCAAAGAUGAAACAUAUCCAAGACCUGUACAGUCUUGAACUUGGAAAAGGUCUUACAUAUGCAUGCAAGUUGAAUCAAAAGGUUUUUGACCCAAGAUCCAUAGAGAGGUGCUACGUAAAACUUGCUGACUCUUUCUUUCAUGAAUCAACAAUUGAAGCCUUGUUGUUUUAUUCAAAUAAGUAUCCCCAUUGGAAGGAAACUUCAUCAUUCUUGAAAAUCAUAAGAACAUGGUUCAAUAUCAUAAAUGUUAGAACAACUACAGCAGCAUUGAGAGAAAUAACUGGAUACCUCUUAAAUAUGAAAAUCGUGGAUUACAUUUUGCUUGGAACAAUAAAAAAUGAUACUAUAGAGAGGCGUUUUGGAUACUACAGACAACUAUAUGGAGCUAAUUACUUUAUGAGUGUACGACAGUUUGUCGAAGAAGAAAAAAACUUUUAGGUUAAAAUCCCUGAUCCUUAAAUUCUAUUAUAUGUCACUUACCGAAAUUAAAACUAGCUUUUAUCCGUCAAAUGAAAUUACUGUUGAGAUCAAGGAGGAGGCAGACUCCCUUUUAGUACUCUUAAAUGAAGCAUACCCUGAAUUACUUCAGGACGACGAAAGUAAUAUAAUUUUUUAUGUAAGUGGAUAUAUUUCAAGAAGCCUCGUAAAAAAAAUACAUGGCAUUAUUUAUGCACUGGCAUAGAAAGUCCCAAAAUUAUUUUGGAAGAUGGAGGGGAAAAUGAUCUAAAGAGAAUCGCUUUGAAAAUAAAGUUAAAAGGAACUGAAUUGGGAGAAAUAACUAUUACAAAAGUAUGUAAUAAUGACCAUAUCUUCAAACAUCUAUUUUAUAAAAUCGUUAAUUCAUUUUGCAAUUGUUUAGAAAAAACAUUGUUUCGGGCAUUCAUAACGAAAUAAGGGAAGGAAGGAAAAGGGUACAAAAUGAUAAUAAUUGUAGAAAAAUAAGAAAAUUAAAUAAUUAAAAAAAUGUAUUAAGUAAGGAUCUACUAAUAUGCUCUGAAUUCUUUGUUGGCUCCAAGUUAUAAAGUCUGUCUAUUAAUUUACUUUAUACUGCCCUCAGAAAUAGGUGGGCUAGUCUGUCUCCCAAAAACCCAAAAUAAGGAAAUGGGUUUCAUUUAAAAAUAUCUUACAAAAUAAUUGAUUAAUAUGGUUUAUAAAAUAAGAGUGUUAAGUAAAUUAUAACGCUUCUUUAUUUUUUAUCUCUCUUCUUUUUUAAAAUAUAGGCCUGAGUACCUUUACUUGCUAUUUAAGUGGCUCUCCUCUUCUCUAGUACUCCUUGUGCAAAAUAUAACGAUGAAACUUUCUCUAGGACUAUGGUAUCAAAAUAUUUCUGCUGUGGUGAUGGGAUAUAAAGUAGUAGAAUUGGUCCACGUUUUGAGUGAUGAAUACAAAUGAGUAAGGGAUGGCCCCUAUGAAUCUAAAUUUUUGCAAGUAAAUGUGUGGCUUUCUAAAUUCUAGAAGCAAUUGCAUAAUCUUUCCUUGCAAAAAUGAAUUGACUUAUAUUACAUGUGAAUUAUCCCGUAUGUACCUCAACAGGACUACGUCUUUACCUUCUUUGGCAGAACUGGCUAUAGCAGAAGAUAACAUUUGGCUAAGAAUUCUAUUUCAUUUGAAUUAUUUCCUACUUUAAAGCUGCCAAAUUAGAAACUAUGGGGGCUUAGCUUUCUAUCGGUUAUAAUUUCAAAGAUGCUGGAAAAAAUGAGGGUUUAUCCAAGGAGAGAUUGAAGGGUUAAUUUUACGUCUUCAGAAUAUUAUGAAUUGCCACUUAUGGGUACAAUACACAUUAGUCAAAACUUGGAAGCCGGCUCACCUCCACUAGUUUGUAUCCAUAUAAUUAUACAAUAUAUACAAAGACAGACCUAUGUUUCAAUCUGAUUCUACCAUUGGCAUUAUUUAUCAAAAUAGAGCUAAUCGUCAUUUAUCAAUAGGUUUAGCGACUUUUCAUCAUUAUAAAAGUUUGUUCCAUGCUGGAGAAUUUUGUUAUUUUAUGACGUGUUAUUAUCAAAAAACUAUCGUUUGAAGCAUAGACAGUAGCCAACAAAUUCAUUGAAUUACUUGAUCUUCUUUCUAUGUCAGAAUUAAAAUUUGUUAAAUAAACGUGUGGAAUUUUAAA